rnacentral:rRNA from 1 species
UACGUAGGGUGCAAGCGUUGUCCGGAAUUAUUGGGCGUAAAGAGCUCGUAGGCGGUCUGUCGCGUCGAAUGUGAAAACCCGGGGCUCAACCCCGGGCCUGCAUUCGAUACGGGCAGACUAGAGUUCGGUAGGGGAGACUGGAAUUCCUGGUGUAGCGGUGAAAUGCGCAGAUAUCAGGAGGAACACCGGUGGCGAAGGCGGGUCUCUGGGCCGAAACUGACGCUGAGGAGCGAAAGCGUGGGGAGCAAACAGG